GGUUCGAGCUCNUUUGUUGUUUCUAGGUCUUCACUACUAGUUGUAGGAGUCUCAGCAAGGGGCCUACAGAUCCAGGGUUCGAGCUCUGACAACACCUUAGCUUGCGUAUGGAGUGUUGUGAUUUGCAUGGGGUAAAAUUCUCUCUUUAUAAAAUUGUGCUUAAAAAAACAUGAUAAUCUGUGAAUCAUGGUGUGAGUCACCAAGAUAGAGGCAUUUCGCAAUUCAGUCACUUGUCCGCCAUUUUGCUGGCUGGUGUGACACCUUGGCAGGUUUGCAGUUUGAGAGCUGCGUUUCAUAGGGGCGGUGAUGGCAGCCCCAUACGAAAGGGGAAACCUAUAGCUGGCAGACCAGGAACGCAAGGAGGCCGCUCCAGGCUGCUGAAGCUAUUUCUGGUUGUAUCCAUUUCCCAGAAGUCCACGAGAGGCUGGGGCGUCUUUCAAGAAGUGACAAAAUAGAUUCCUUCAGCUUCACAGACAUUCUCAUCUACUGACAGAUUAUGUCGUUGCUACGAAAUAUUGUAGGUUUCCUCUGGUUUGUGUCAGUCAGUACACUUUAAAGGAGAGUAACUUGUUACAAACAGAAUCAUUUCACCCCUCUUUUUGGCUUUGUGAUUUGGAGAGAAGGGGAGGCUCAACAUCAGACAGCUGGAGAUUUGCCUCUGCGACUUCACAGAACUCAGAAGAAUCAUUGUGCAUCGGAGCUGACGGGCCCAUCAGGUUUAACCGCUGGCCCAGGAGGAGAGUUGUUUGUGGAUGUACAGGAGCAGAGGACUCCCCGCUGGACCAAAGAAACAAUAGUUUUUGCACUACAAUAUUCAGGUUAAAACCAACUG
rnacentral:lncRNA from 1 species